rnacentral:rRNA from 1 species
UACGGAGGGUGCGAGCGUUGUCCGGAAUCAUUGGGCGUAAAGCGUUCGUAGGUGGCUUUUCAAGUCUGCUGUCAAAGCACAAGGCUUAACCUUGUAAAGGCAGUGGAAACUGAAAUGGCUAGAGUGCGGUAGGGGUAGAGGGAAUUCCCAGUGUAGCGGUGAAAUGCGUAGAGAUUGGGAAGAACACCGGUGGCGAAAGCGCUCUACUGGGCCUGCACUGACACUGAGGGACGAAAGCUAGGGGAGCGAAAGGG